UGUAAGAGUUGAGGUCUCUCUAAUCUUACAGUAUAGUGUCCUCCCUGUAAGAGUUGAGGUCUCUCUGUAAUCUUACAGUAUAGUGUCCUCCCUGUAAGAGUUGAGGUCUCUCUGUAAUCUUACAGUAUAGUGUCCUCCCUGUAAGAGUUGAGGUCUCUCUGUAAUCUUACAGUAUAGUGUCCUCCCUGUAAGAGUUGAGGUCUAUGUAAUCUUACAGUAUAGUCUCCUCCCUGUAAGAGUUGAGGUCUAUGUAAUCUUACAGUAUAGUCUCCUCCCUGUAAGAGUUGAGGUCUAUGUAAUCUUACAGUAUAGUGUCCUCCCUGUAAGAGUUGAGGUCUCUCUGUAAUCUUACAGUAUAGUCUCCUCCCUGUAAGAGUUGAGGUCUCUCUGUAAUCUUACAGUAUAGUGUCCUCCCUGUAAGAGUUGAGGUCUCUCUGUAAUCUUACAGUAUAGUGUCCUCCCUGUAAGAGUUGAGGUCUCUCUGUAAUCUUACAGUAUAGUGUCCUCCCUGUAAGAGUUGAAGUCUAUGUAAUCUUACAGUAUAGUGUCCUCCCUGUAAGAGUUGAGGUCUCUCUGUAAUCUUACAGUAUAGUGUCCCUGUAAGAGUUG